AUGGCGGUUGUUAAGAACAAGUGCCUUAUGGAAGGUGGCAAAAAGGGAGUUAAGAAGAAAGUAGUUGGUCCAUUCUCUAAGAAAGAUCAGUAUGAUGUGAAAGCACCUGCUAUGUUCAAUAUAAGAAAUAUUGGAAAGACUUCGUCACCAGGACCCAAGGAACCCAAAUUGCAUCUGAUGGUCUCAAGGGUCUUGUGUUUGAAAUGAGUCUUGCUGAUUUGCAGAAUGAUGAAGUUGCAUUUAGAAAAUUCAAGCUGAUUACUGAAGAUGUUCAGGGCAAAAACUGCCUGACUAACUUCUAUGGCAUGGGUCUUACCUGUGACAAAAUAUGUUCCAAGGUUGAAAAAUGUUCAACAAUGAUUGAAGCUCAUGUUGAUGUCAGGACUACCGAUGGUUACUUCUUUCUUCUGUUUUGUGUUGGUUUUACUAAAAAACACAACAAUCUGAUACCGAAGACCUCUUAUGCUUAGCACCAACAGUCUGCCAAAUCCAGAAGAGGAUGAUGGAAAUCAUGACCUGAGAGGUGCAGACAAAUGACUUGAAAGAAAUGGUUAAUAAAUUGAUUCCAGACAACAUUGGAAAAGAUGUAGAAAAGGCUUGCCAAUUUAUCCUCUCCAUGAUGUCUUCAUUAGAAAAGUAAAAAUGCUGGAGAACCCUGGGUUUGACAGGCAUGGAACUUCGUGGUGACGGCAGUAGUUCUGGAAAACCCACUAGGGACGAGACACAUGCGAAAGUUGAAUGAGCUGAUGGAUAUGAACCACUAGUCCAAGAAUCUGUU
rnacentral:lncRNA from 1 species